GCCCGCAGCUAAACCACCCACAUCAUCAGCACUCUCGUCUGAUCUCAGAGGCUUAGCUGGGUCGGGCAGAGUUAGAACUUGGACGGAAGUCUCCUUGGGAAUACCAAGUGCUGUAAGAU
rnacentral:rRNA from 1 species